CGGUUGUAUCACGUUGAAGCACCUGUUGUUGUUCGACAACCGAAGUUAAGCAACGUUGAGCCUGGUUAAUAGCUAGAUGGGAGACCGCUUGGGAAUACUAGGUGUUGUAUG